GUGCAGCAGUCGCGAAAACUUUACAAUGUGCGAAAGCACGAUAAGGGAACUCUGAGUGCCUCCUAAGGAGGCUGUUCAGGUGUCUAAAAAGCACCUGAAGGAAGGGCUGGGUAAGACCGGUGCCAGCCGCCGCGGUAACACCGGCAGCCCAAGUGGUAGCCACGUUUAUUGGGUCUAAAAGCGUCCGUAGCCGGCUGGGUAAGUUCCUUGGGAAAAUUUGGCUGCUUAACAGUCAAGCUUUCAGGGAAUACUGCCCCGGCUUUGGGACCGGGAGAGGUCAGAGGUACUCCAGGGGUAGGGGUGAAAUCCAUUAA
rnacentral:rRNA from 1 species